rnacentral:rRNA from 1 species
UACGUAGGGAGCAAGCGUUGUUCGGAUUUACUGGGCGUAAAGGGCGCGUAGGCGGCGCGGUAAGUCACUUGUGAAAUCUCUGAGCUUAACUCAGAACGGCCAAGUGAUACUGCAGUGCUAGAGUGCAGAAGGGGCAAUCGGAAUUCUUGGUGUAGCGGUGAAAUGCGUAGAUAUCAAGAGGAACACCUGAGGUGAAGGCGGGUUGCUGGGCUGACACUGACGCUGAGGCGCGAAAGCCAGGGGAGCAAACGGG